rnacentral:lncRNA from 1 species
CUUGGCAUAAACUCACUGAGGGCAGAUUAACCCUUGUGUACUGCUCAAAUUGACUACCCUUUCAUUAUGUUGGUGGCUGUUUUUGCCCCAUUGACUUCUAUUAUAAUGACAUUUUUUGAUUGCAAAGUCCCAGAGUGGAUGAAAACAUCCUCAACAGCACACAAAUGUGAGAGCCUCUCCAGAGCAUGAUCGCAAGACAGCCUUGAUCUGGACCGAACACAAACAACACACACAAACGCAUCUACGUUGACAGAUGAUGAACCACGCCGAAAAAAGCGCACAGCAGCAGAAGCGGCAGAGCAGCAGACAGGAGAGAAUUUACACACAGCCAUGGGGGUCAGAGGUCAAAGACACGGAGACAGGAGCCCACAACUCCACACGCAUGCCAUCUCGCAUCACUCUGAGGAAUAAGGGGGUUCUACCUGGAACGGCGUCCCGCACGGAGGGGCCGAGGCGUCUGGUGCGUGUCUUUGGGGUGUUCCCACUGGAGACGGGACUCCUGAUGUGGACGCAGAGCGACCGAGUUUACAACCGGCUUUUGGUUCUAUAAAGUGUUGGGUUGCAGCUGGAAAGGCAUCCGCUGCAUAAUACAUAUGAUGGAUAAGUUGGCGGUUCAAUUCGCUGUGGCGACCCCAGGUUAAUAAAG